CACACACCACAUCUCCUUUCUUUCUUGCCUGGAUUUCCCACGCCGCUGCUUCUGCCUAUCUAUUUUUUCUCAGACGCCAUUGCUGUAGAGUUGCUGCACGGGCGCCCUCACCCACGAAGCGCGGCGCCGCGGGAGUUGUUGCUGCUGCAAGGGAUGCCAUCGCCAUGGCCGAACGCGACGGGGCUGAGCACCGGCGCUAUUACGACAGGGGGCCAUGGUCUGCGAGCUCACAGGCCAGGGCGGCCAUGGCUACGAGCUCGAGUUUUGGUUUUUUGCUACUACCGGCACUGUCGUUUGUUACAUCCUUUUUCAUGAGAUUGUCGAGACCCUGCGCUUGUGUGUUUUGCUACAACCUUGUACUGUUUUUGCUACAACCUUCUACAUUUUUUGCUACUACUGGAGAAGCCCCUAGCUGGACCACAAGUUAUUUUUGCUACAACCGUUUUGUGGUUUGCUGUAACCAGUGUCAAUUUUUGCUACCACCGACUUCUUUGAUUUUUCUGGAACCAGCGCUCGAUUUUUUAUUUUUGCUACCACUAGCGUUUCGAUUUGCUGGAACAAGCUUCAAUUUUUGCUACCAUCAGGUUUUUGGGUUGUUGGAGUGUCGUCGAUUUUUUCUAAUUUUGCUACCAACGUUUUAUUAUUUGCUGGAACCGUCAAGAAUUUUUGCUACGGCCGGUGGAAUUUUUUGCUGCGACUGGCAAAUUAAGGAUGAGGAACAACACGAGCUCUACAACGGGUGCUGCGGCCGGUGACGUGAGGCUCCGCGAGCCGCGGGGGGCCUCACCGGAGAUGCGCCGCGGGGGCGUUGCUGGAGCUGGGCCUCGCCGGAGAUGCGCCGCGGGGCUGGAGCUGGGCCUCACCGGAGAUGUGCCGCGGGGGCCUUUGCUGGAGCUGCGCGGUGCUACGAGCCGCGGGGGAUCUCACCGGAGAUGCGCCGUGCUGCGAGCCGCAGGGGAUCUCGCCGGAGAUGCGCCACGGGGCCCGAGGAAGAAGAAGCUGGGGCGAUUUAUUAUUUUUUUUGGCUCCAGAUCCAACCGCCGCGCGGCUCGCAUCGAGCGGCUAUGGCUGGACCGGCCGAAAGUUUCGGCCGGUGCGCCGGCGCCUAGUGGUGACCUUGGCUAAUCUAAUCUCGUGGACUAUAGAUCUCCCUCACACCUUUUCGUGACUAUGCUACGGGCACACACAAGUUGUACGCAGCACAUGCUCUAGGCUCAGCAAUAUAUUUCCCGUUCUGUGCCCGAAUGGAAGCACAUCCAACGACGCACGAGCUUGAUCCAGCUCGUGGCGUGGCGGAGCCAUGUGCGGUAUGCACAUUUAGCAACACCCAAAAUGUUGAAUAAAAGAAAAAUCCCGUUCUUUCAGUUUGAAUUCAAAACAUGUAGACGACUGAGUAUUAUGUGCAUAUUUUAAGUUCCGUGCAAUGUUUUGCAUUCUUGUGGCCUAUAUUAUAAAAUAAAAAUAAAGAGUACUGCAAUAUGGGUUAGCUCAUCAUUGUUGUUGUCUUAUACGUAGGUAUUACGCGCAAAAAAGAAGUUUUUUAUAAGAAUUUGGAGAUACCUACUUUAUACCAAUACCUUAUUCUUGUACCACUUGUUUUUGACAUUUUGUCGACUCAUAUUUUGAAUUUUGAACAUAAAUGGAUGCCACUUAUAUGUGCUGGGGCAAAGAAACCCUCCUCCCCUCUAUGCACACUACAAGUGGUGCUUUAACCAAGCUUAACUUUGACACAACAUGUAAAAGAUUCUUACAAAAGGGAAUAGACUAGCUAUUAGUGACACUCCUAAAAAGCCAUGUUGGGCCAACCCUCCAUCUCACUUCCCAUUUUUGGAAGAGGAGAUACACGUUCUAGGCGUGGAGAUUUGAGGGAGUGGAGGUGGUGUCACUAGCGACCGUGAGAUCCACUGCUUCUAUCUAACUUGUGCCCAUGGGAUCCAUGGUGACCCCCCUUUCGCGCGACACCUAAGAUCCGAGGCUACCACCCUCGUCGUUGUGUGGGUGGAGGUGGACUCAUGGAGGAGCCGAGGGAGACUAAGGUGGUGGUGUGCGAAAGCUGCAGAGCUGGUGAAGCGAGCACAUGAAAGACGAGGGCUCGGAAACAAGGUAACAUAAACGGGCGAGCCGUAUUGAAAUUUUUGUGUGGUCAAAAGUAACAUGUACAUGAUCACUCGCCAAGAAAUUUCUCGCUUGCAAACAUAUAAAUAGAAACAAGUGGACAACACUUCAUCUAACAUAUAAAAGCUGCUAGAGUACCCGCCCAUCCAGCGCCAUCGCGAUUUCAAAACGAUCCUGCACGCACGCUUUGCCUCGCUGGCGUCGUAACAGUAAUUUUCAUUGACCUGGUAAGUAUCCGACCACUCGUUUUCUUGUACGCCCCGUAAUCGGCCCAUGAGCAGCUGACGAGUGGGUCACGUUUCGACGUAGGGCAGCCUUGCAGCGACGCAUGGAUGGUGCGUGCUUCUGUGGAUGAAAAGCAGGGGCAGGUCGCUCGUGGGCUGUGGCCAAUCGAUCGUGGAUUGUCAGGGCGUUUUUUACCGUCCUCGUUCGCACCCAGCGACGGCGCCUCAGCUUUAGCCGCAUCGGGCCCAUUUGUCGGUCUCCUGGGUGCCCGGCUCAGAGAGAGCAGCGAGCGAGCGGGCGACCUGGGCGAGCGGGCACGAGAGAAAAGAAAAAGGGAAGCCGCCGCGAGAGAAAAAAGUAAAAGCAGCCAGACCUAGCCCGCGCCCCGCAGCCGCCUCCUCUCUCUCUUGCCGCCGCCGCCUCCACCUCCCCUCCUGCCGCCGCCGCCGCCUCAGCCUCGGCCGGGCCGUGCUCUGCCGGCGCCCGUCGGCCUUGAUCCGGCCUCGCAGGAGGAGCUCGCCCUCGAGGAGGACUCGACAGGAGGAGGGGAGCAGUGCCUCUUCUCCUCCCCUUCGCUUUUCUCCUCCCCACGUUCUAGAUUGGGCACAAGUCACCACCAUACAAGAGCAUGGGUUGCAUGAUCUUCAUGGUGGGCGUGGUGGAGCAAGGAGGGAGGAGGAUAGCGAUGGGGGAAGGAGAAGCAAGGUUGGAGCUCCAGGAUCUACGUUGGCGUGCCGCUGGAGUGGAUGAGUGGUCGUCCGUUGCGCGCCGGCCGUCGUCCCCGUCCCCAAUCUGGGCUGCCUAUCGUGAGUGCUUGAUGUUACCUCCAUCAGCUGAUGAGGCGAGGCUGCUGCUGCUGAAAAAUGGUGCUGCUACCGGAGGCAGUGGAGAGGCAUUCCGUGGACCAACUAUGGUGUGGUUCAGAUAGUCCAAGGAGUGGAAACUAUAACCUUGUCAAAUUCUACACAUAGCCAUUAUGACGACACAUUUAUGCGAUAGAUUGUCAAUAUUUAAGUUGAUACACUAAAGACGGAGAUGUGGAAAGCUUGCCACGGAGGCACACAGGCUUGCUGAUUCUGUUUUGGAUUUGUCCUUGAGAGGAGGCCGAAGCAAACUUCAACAGGCAUCAGGCCUUGUGGUCGGUUGCCAUUGUUGUGCAGUAAUUUCUCUCCGAAACACUCGUCCAAAUUUAUGAUUGGUUUCGCUGGCGCUGCAUGUAAGUGAGGUCUACUUAUUGUUCUAUUGGCUUUGCUCCGAUGAGUUCUUCCCCAUAUACCUUUUUGAUGAUUUUGCCACCAUAUGGUCGACCUGGUCUUAUCAAGGUUUAUCAUGGUUUUCGUGGUAGUGUGACUGGCUCACAGUACAUAAUUGUCUGCCUUCUCCACCAAAUGUAUGUGUUAUGAUAUUUUGUAAGGCUAGGCACACCCUAGGUUGUUUAAUGCUUUUGAUCUAGCUUGUUAUGAGAUAAUUAAACAAUCGUGUUUAUUUGCUCACGAGCAAGAUGAUGAUUUCAAGCCAAUGACUAUUUGCCCCUUUUAGAGUUUCUACCAUUUAAUUGUGUUGUUAUUUCCCUUAAUAGAAUAUUUGCUAAUGGUUAGACUACCUUGCGGUUAUUAUUCCUAUGGGCAAACAAAUAUAUGAUUAUUAAUAUUGCAUAGCUUGAACAAAAGCACAUGACCUGUCUUCUGCAUUGGUGGCUAAAAUUGAGAUACUUAUGCUUGUUGAUGCCUUCCCUUUUGUAGUAAAAUCCAUGCUUCUAGCGUAUGUAGACGCCUCUGGCGUCGAACUGAAGAGACGAGGAAGAAAGGGGAUACACAAGCUCGUUGGAUCCACUCGCUGCCGCUUCAUAUUCAGCUCUUCAUGGGUCACGACUGUCGCUAUUCGUGGGCCGGGCUAAAUAACAUAUGGGCCAUCGAAAUACUUAUCUCCAUAUACGCAGAACAGAAAGAUCAAAAAUCUCACAAUGGAAGACAUGGACAUUGGCAUCGUCUGUGAGACGGUUCCCCAGGAUCAGCAGCAUCAAGGACAGCAACGCCUGCGCCCAAUGAGAAUGACUAUCUGAUAGUAAUUCCUUAAGCCCACAUAUUCGCCCUGGUGCUGAAAGCUCUGAAGUUACCCCCCGCAACUUAUUAUCACAAGAUAUGCCCAGGCGGAAAGAAUCGUGUGACGGUUACUUUCAUUUCUUCUUUGGAAUUGCUCGAUGGUGCACUUGUUCCAAGUUCUCUGUCAGGUGCAAUCUUAGAUAGCUAUGAAGAUGCUGAAGACAGUGCUGCUAUUGAAGCUAUUAGAUACAUGGAAAAUGCAUAUGGCAAAGAAAUGAGGGACUACCACUACACUCAUGUCAAGAAGCUUCAAAAUCAAGUGACGCACCUGGUCAAAUGGCUGGUUGCAUCAAAUAAAACAAUCAAGAAGCUGUGCAAAACAUGCUACUACGCCGUCAGGUAUAUGAGCUCAUAUUUUGCCCAAAUAGAAAACACAACGACUGCUCGGCAUUUGAAAGGGCGGGAUAGCAAAGGGAGUUAUGAAAACAGCGCUGGCAAGCAUUGAAGGACUGACGCAGAGGCUACGCUACAUUGCUAUGAAGUUUGAGCAGCGCCUCGAAGCAACCAGAAAUAGUUUCUGGUGAGCUUUGGUCAAUGUGUCCUGACGUAUCGAUCAGACAAGGAUCUUUCGCAUUUUGGCGUACUCCAAGCAAGAUAUGUGUACGCUUUAGUCUUAACUUGCUGCCUCUAUGCUGAAAAGUAGUGUAUGAUAUAGUCUACGAUCUUUAAACUUUGUUGUUAUCUCUGUACUCAGAAGCGGGUUAUCAUCGCUUACUGUAUAUAUGUGAAGGCCUCUUCUUCUGCUAUUCUUUCCAGGCCACUGCUUCUGUGGUGAAAAGUAUUGUAUAAUGUAGUCUAUGAUCUUUAGAUUAUAUUGUUCUCUUUGUAGUCAAAAGCAGUUUUUCA